ensembl:misc_RNA Y_RNA Y RNA
GGUUGGUCCGAUGGCAGAGCUUAUUAACAUUAGUGUCAGAACAUUAUCAGAACUUAUUAACAUUAGUGUCACUAAAGUUGGUAUACCACCCCCCCACUGCUAAAUUUGAUUGGCUUAAA